rnacentral:lncRNA from 1 species
CAGGGAAGUCGAUCCUCAGGAAAGUCGAUCUUCCUAGGAUUCGACCUGGGACCUCCCCAACCCUAGAAUAGAUACCUCAACUCAUCUUAGGCUAUCCGGACUUCUAGUUGCUGGUAGGUUGUGACCGUGUUCGGGAUACUGUAUCACCAGUACUCCCCCCUCCUCUGCGUAUUAGAUACUUUGGGAUACGUCUUUUAGUACUAUGGUCUGUGUGUCGGACCCUGUACUAUCAUGAAGGUUGAUUGAUCAAUACGAUCUUUUAUUUAUACUCUUUAUAUUUAUAAAAUGAUUUAAAAUUGAUUAUUUAAUCAAUUUGUUCAAUAUCUAUUGUAAAUUGAAACAAUUACUUCAAUAAAUUCAUUAUUACCUUCUUUUCUAAUUACAGAGUAUAAAAUGUGGUACAAAAACGUAUUUAAUUCAAAAUAUCAUUUAUGAAGGUUGAUCGAUCAAUACGAUCUUUUAUUUAUACUCUUUAUAUUUAUAAAAUGAUUUAAAAUUGAUUAUUUAAUCAAUUUGUUCAAUAUCUAUGGUAAAUUGAAACAAUUUCUUCAAUAAAUUCAUUAUUACAUUCUUUUCUAAUUACAGAGUAUAAAAUGUGGUACAAAACCGUAUUUAAUUCAAAAUAUCAUUUAUGAAGGUUGAUUGAUCAAUACGAUCUUUUAUUUAUACUCUUUAUAUUUAUAAAAUGAUUUAAAAUUGAUUAUUUAAUCAAUUUGUUCAAUAUCUAUUGUAAAUUGAAACAAUUUCUUCAAUAAAUUCAUUAUUACCUUCUUUUCUAAUUACGGAGUAUUAAAUGUGGUACAAAACCGUAUUUAAUUCAAAAUAUCAUUUAUGAAUGUUGAUUGAUAAAUACGAU